rnacentral:lncRNA from 1 species
CAGUUUUAUUUUCUGGUUUCUUUGUGGGGCUGUGGAGAAACAUCAAAGGGUGGAAAAUGCCAUUUUUACCUGUAAAGGAGGGCCCCACAUUGUGCAGGAGGAAAUAAACCAGACCCGGGCUCAGAUGAAUGGAGUGAGUACAAGCAUUUGAGAGACAGAACAAUUACGUGGAUUUGAUUUUCUUUGGGGAGGCUCUUCACAGUUUCCCAUCUGUAAGGGAGCAAAAGAGGUUACAGCUGAAACUCAAAGCUGAUCUGUUUUCACAUUCCGCUCAUGCGGGCUUCAGAGCCACACAAUUUCACUUUCAAUUACUUACCACACUUCAUUGAUCUCUGACUUACUUUGCAGCCAUUGGUAGUCUUCCUAUUAGACCCAGUUCCUUGGGGACAGAGCCCCCAUCUUAUACUUUUGUUCCCCACAUAGAGCCGGACCUAGGCAGAUCACAUGCUCUUGCUCAGUACUUGGUCAAACACCUUUUCCUCACUGUUGAUUCAAAAUUUAUUCAACGAUGAUUGACUAAAUCCCAGGCAAUGGUUAUUUUUAUAAUAAGAUGCUGGUGGUGAAUCCACAUACAGCAAGUACAGAAUAUGGAGAUUACUGGGAGAGGAAGGAUCAUUUCAAAACAGGAUUUGUGCACAGAGACGUUCACUAGAGUGUUGUUUAUAACAGCAAAAAGUGGAGACAACUUAAGUGUUCCUCAGUAGGGAAAGUUGGGUAAAUUAUGGUACAUGCAUACAGACAGUGAGAUAGUAAGCAGCCAUAUAUAUAUAUAUAUAUAUAUAUAUUUUUUUUUUUUUUUUUUGAGACAGGGUCUUACUCACUCUGUCACCCAGGCUGGAGUGCAGUGGAGUGAUCACGGCUCGCUGCAGCCUCUGCCUCCCAGGCACAAGCAAUCCUCCCACCCCAGCCUCCGGAGUAGCUGGGAUUAGAGGUACACGCCACCAUGUCUGGCUAAUUUAUAUAUUUUUUGUAGAGACAAGGUUUGCCAUGUUGCCCAGGCUGGUCUCAAACUCCUGGGCUCAAGCGAUUUUCCUGCCUUGGCCUCCCAAAGUGCUGGGAUUAUAGGUGUGAGCUAAUGUACUCGGCCAGUAAGCAGCUAGUUUAAAGAAUAAGGUAGAGCCAAAUGUUCAAAAAGAUAACCAAGAAGAAUUAGUCGGUAUGAUGCCAUUUAUGUAAAAAAGGACUAAAAGGAUGCAUAUAUAUAUACAUACAUGUGACACAUACACAGAAAAAUUUUGGAAGGAUACACCAAAAACUUCAUAUUGGUUAUCUCUGGGGAGUGGACUAAGAAGUCAGAAGUGGGACCGUUAGUCUGUUACUUAAUUUUCCUGUUAGUACUUGAAUUUUAAAAUUAUGACUGUAUUAUUGCUUUUAUGUUUAUUUUUUAAACAACAAACUAGUUAAACAAGCAAGCUAUUUUUGGAUGGCAAUGAGAAAAGUUAACUCUAAAAGAUGCCCUUCCCAGGGACAGGGGUGGGGCAAGGCAGAGUGGGGCGGAGAGGGAGGGCCCUGUUGAAGGCACACAUUGCCCUUCACUCUGUGACUCUUGGCUCCCUCUGCUUUCGGUCGCUGGCCAAACCAAACAGCCUUCCAGCUCUGUCCCGUGAGGUGGAGAUGAGACGGACCACGAAAAUGUUCUGAAUCACAGCCUUGGGGUGGCUUGAGUUAAGACUUCCUGGACAUUCACCAACCACUGCCAGCUGCCACCAACCCUGCUCGGGAAGCCGGCCAUGUACCCUACAGCACAGGACAUGGAUGGCACUGAUCACAUAGAUAAGGACUCCUUAGUUUGGGGGUGAAUCAAGUUACUGUCUCACUCAAAACCCGCCAAUGGCCCACCUCUGCUUGUUGUGAGGUCCAAAUUUACCUUGUAUUAGCAUUCAAGGCUUUGCAUGGUUCAGCCCCACUCUUAUCUUUUCAACCUCAUUUGCUACGACUUCUCAGUAUAUGCCAACAUGUACACCAGGACUGCCUGGGUUGGAAUCUGGGCUGUGCUACUUACCACUGUGACAGUAGGUAAGUCAGUUGCCCCUUCAGUGCCUGUUUCCUUAUCUGGAAAGCAGGGAGGAUAAGAAUAGCACCUACAUCAUAGGACUGACAUGGAACUGUGUGCAUUAACAAAUGUGUGUGCGGAACGGUGCCUGCCAUACAGUAGGUGCUUCCCACCCUCACUCCAUGCUUCUGGCUGGAAUGUCUUUCCUGGCCACAGUCCUGGUCAUUUUUCAGAGUCUCUAUCUGGCAGCGCCCCACCAUGAGGCCUUCCCUAAUCAGCCCAGGUACCAGUGGUUCUUGGACAUCCAGAAUCAGGUGGGGAACUUGGUGAAGUGCAGAUUCUUCUACCUAACUUCUCAGGAUCCCACUGGAGUCUGUGACACGGCCCAGGAAGCUGCCCCCAGGUGACACCCGUAUGUGUAGUGCAGGGUCACACUUGGAAUAGCUCAGUACUUGGAAGGCCACCUUCUGCUGCCUCUCCUAGGGAACAGGCUUGGUCCUAUUCAUUUUCCCAUCUUCCACAAUGUCUCAUGCACGUUAGGCUCCUGACAAAUGCUUGUGGACUAUUCAUGACCUGCUUGGGAGAAGGGCUCACCAUCUUAUGCCUUCCCACCCUCUCUCUGAGGCUUACGGCACUAGCGUGAAUGUGGGUGCCCUCAUGAGAAGCUUGUGGUGUAGCUGAUGCCACUUAGACCACAGAUUCCAAGCAGGCUCAUUGGCUUUUCCCAGGUCUAUCUAUCUUCCAAUAGAUCUGUAGGGAAAGUAGUCCACUUGGGUUUUCUUUAACUUUCCAUUAAGAAAGAAAGUGAGAGGGCUUCCUCAGCUAGGGGUACCAUCAGUCACUUGGGGGAAAUCUUUAAAAAUCGAGCCUAGCCUGACCACUCCAGACUGGAUUCUGAGCACCAUGUAGGUUCAAGGCGGGGUCGGGGCAAUGGACCAGGUUGUCUGGGUGAUUCGGAUGACACCCUUGAUGAUGAACCAGAGCUCCACCCCCAGGUUCUCAACGGGGGCUGUGCUUCAGCCAGGCAUGCAGAGGGGCUAGAGCUUUUGAGGAUAUAAGGCCCUUCCCCAACAUAACCAGCCUCUUGGCCUAGGGGCCAACUCUAUUCAUUUCACCCUUGUUAUUUUGCAAAGCAAGUGAGCAGUUGCUGGGGAAAGUCAAGCAUCCUUGGGAAAGAGACUCUGGGGAAAGAGGGCAGGGUUGUCCUUAGUGGAAAGGCCAAAGUCCCCUAGAGGACUCAAAAUCCUCUAUUUAAAAUACAAUCUCUUUCUUUAAAACCCAAAAGCUUCCUGUUAGUUCCAGCUCCUAUAUUUCUCGCUGACAUUAGCUCUGUGAAAUAAGGUCUUAGGCUGGAAUCCACCCUACAGCCAGCUUUCAAAGGCCCUUUCUGGAGCCCUGCGGGCAGCACACAAGUUGCCUCAAAGACAGGGUAGAAAUGUUCUGUUUUGUUAUUUUUUAAAGUCUCCUGAAAGUGUAAGAAUAAAAAGGGAGUGAAAGCUUCUGCUUUGUCAAUAGGAAAUCCACCCCCCUGUCCCCAACUCUGCCCUGGGAGCCUCACAGAUUUCCUGAAGUUAAAAACAAACAGUGACCAUUUCUACUCCUUGCAAGAUUUAAUUCUUCCUUUAAUAUAAAUAAGGCAGCAUGAAACACCAAGAGCCCCACUGCUUU